UCGUGCUAGGUGGGGAGCUAGCGGUGCCCUGAACCCGAAAUCCGCUAUAGCGGGGCUGAAUUCCUGCUUGAGAUUUCGAGGUGUAAGGUUGCUUUCUGCUAAGCGGCGGUGAAAUUUGGGUUCUAUGCGGUGGAGAACUAUGAACCCCGUCAGGUCCGGAAGGAAGCAGCGGUAAGUAGCUUUCUCCAGGUGACAUAGAGGUGCCUGGAUGGAGCUGGCUGGCAAAGGUAAUUUGCACCAUAGGAACCGAGAGCAGGUGCACGA
rfam:Dehalococcoidia bacterium CG2_30_46_19 cg2_3.0_scaffold_3342_c, whole genome shotgun sequence.